CACGUAGGCGGUCUGUUAAGCGUCUUGUGAAAUCCCCCGGCUCAACCGGGGAAUGGCUGGGCGAACUGGCAGACUUGAGGCAAGCAGGGGCGUGUGGAACUCUUGGUGGAGCGGUGAAAUGCGUAGAUAUCAAGAGGAACGCCGGAGGCGAAAGCGACACGCUGGGCUUGCUCUGACGCUGAGGUGCGAAAGCCAGGGGAGCAAACG
rnacentral:rRNA from 1 species